GACAAAAAAGCUCAAGGCAGGAACAGCAGCCCAGGGACCUGAGACCAGCGUUCUCAAAUGAAGGUGAUCUGCUGUUAGAGGAGAAUUCUUCUGUCCUAGCUGUGUCUCUGUGAUCUGUGGAUGAGGGUGGGAAAGCACCACUCAGUCAAUUGGGGUGUACAAAAUGGAGUUUGAGAAGGUCUCACAUCCAGGUUGUUUUGAAGCAAAGUCCAAGCAUUGUAUCACUUCAUCUGCAAAUAUUUCAAUAAGUACCCAAAAGGUCCAGAUUGACUGCAAGAACAAAUCAGCAAUCCUGAGAGGACCCACAGGCCCUCUGAAGGAAGCAGACUACUCCUGCAGGACCUGGGAGAUACCCUGAAUACUGUGAGUGCCCCACCUGUGGAAGUGGGAAAGGGAGACCAUCCCCUCCUGAACACACACCCUCACUGGAGAAACUGAAGUUCUGUUUGUGGGAGAAGUUUCCAAUUUUACCUACAGUUGAGUCAACUUAGAGAACCAAGCGAAAUACAGGGGUAGAAGAAGCUGCAGAAAGGCCCUGGGAGCUCACUGGGUCCCCUAGCAGGCCAUUCCUGCCUGGCACCACAGGGAUCCAUCAGGAGGGUGGCCAGAGGAGCAGGGGGGUAAAACUACACAGGGAGAAGGACUUCUCUAGCUGAACUCUGAAACCAUUUGAACGGGGCAAGAAGCCUGCUGGUCAGAACUCAGGGGAGGGCUCAAAUUCACUUUGAAGACUCUAUAGGUGGGGGAAGUAACAAGACCUUUCUUUUGCAGCUGGGAGGCAGGUAGCCUGGGGCAAGUUUUCAAGCCCAUCUUGUCCUCUGCCUGGAAACAGACUUGGGUCUGUUGUGGGGGACAUGGUGGGAGUGAGACCAGCCCUUCACUUUGCGUGGGAGCUGGGUGAAGCCUGUGACUGCUGGCUUUCCCCAACUUCCCUGACAACCUGCAUGACUCAGCAGAGGCAGCCAUAAUCCUCCUAGGUACACAACUCCAGUAACCUGGGAAUCUCACCGCCAUCCCCCACAGCAGUAGUAGCAAGACCUGCCCAAGGAGAGUCUGAGCCCAGACACACCUGCCCUGCCCCCACCUGAUGGUCCUUCCCUACCCACCCUGGUCACUGAAGACAAAGGGCAUAUAAUCUUGGGAGCUCUAGGGUCCCGCCCACUGCCGGUUCCUCUCUACACUACUAUAGCUGAUGCUUUCUGGGAAGUGUCACCUUCUGGCAGGAGGCCAUCAGGACAAUGUGCAGACAACUCCCAGUACCAGCCCAGAGCCAGGCAGACUCACUGGGUGGCUAGACCCAGAGGACAGACAACAAUCACUGCAGUUUGGCUCACAGGAAGCUACUUCCUUAGGAAAAGGGGGAGAGUACUACAUCAAGGGAAUACCACACGGGACAAAAGAAUCUGAACCACAGCCUUUAGCCCUAGACCUUCCCUCUGACAGAGCCUACCCAAAUGAGAAGGAAACAGAAAACCAACGCUGGUAAUAUGAUAAAACAAGGCUUUUUAACACCCCCCCAAAAUCACACCA
rnacentral:lncRNA from 10 species